rnacentral:rRNA from 1 species
UACAGAGGUCUCGAGCGUUGUUCGGAUUCAUUGGGCGUAAAGGGUGCGUAGGUGGCUAGGUAAGUCGGAUGUGAAAUCCCGGGGCUCAACCCCGGAACUGCAUUCGAUACUGCCUGGCUAGAGUACUGGAGAGGAGAUUGGAAUUUACGGUGUAGCAGUGAAAUGCGUAGAUAUCGGGAGGAACACCUGUGGCGAAAGCGGCUCACUGGACCACAACUGACGCUGAGGCGCGAAAGCUAGGGGAGCAAACAGG